rnacentral:rRNA from 1 species
AACGAACGCUGGCGGCAUGCCUAACACAUGCAAGUCGAACGAGACCUUCGGGUCUAGUGGCGCACGGGUGCGUAACGCGUGGGAACCUGCCCUUAGGUUCGGAAUAACUCCCCGAAAGGGGUGCUAAUACCGGAUAAUGUCUUCGGACCAAAGAUUUAUCGCCUUUGGAUGGGCCCGCGUUGGAUUAGCUAGUUGGUAGGGUAAAAGCCUACCAAGGCGACGAUCCAUAGCUGGUCUGAGAGGAUGAUCAGCCACACUGGGACGGAGACACGGCCCAGACUCCUACGGGAGGCAGCAGUGGGGAAUAUUGGACAAUGGGCGAAAGCCUGAUCCAGCAAUGCCGCGAGAGUGAUGAAGGCCUUAGGGUUGUAAAGCUCUUUUACCCGGGAUGAUAAUGACAGUACCGGGAGAAUAAGCUCCGGCUAACUCCGU